rnacentral:rRNA from 1 species
UGCUUGCACCUGGUGGCGAGUGGCGAACGGSUGAKUAAUACAUCGGAACAUGUCCUGUAGUGGGGGAUAGCCCGGCGAAAGCCGGAUUAAUACCGCAUACGAUCUACGGAUGAAAGCGGGGGACCUUCGGGCCUCGCGCUAUAGGGUUGGCCGAUGGCUGAUUAGCUAGUUGGUGGGGUAAAGGCCUACCAAGGCGACGAUCAGUAGCUGGUCUGAGAGGACGACCAGCCACACUGGGACUGAGACACGGCCCAGACUCCUACGGGAGGCAGCAGUGGGGAAUUUUGGACAAUGGGCGAAAGCCUGAUCCAGCAAUGCCGCGUGUGUGAAGAAGGCCUUCGGGUUGUAAAGCACUUUUGUCCGGAAAGAAAUCCUUGACYCUAAUACGGUCGGGGGAUGACGGUAYYKGAAGAAUAAGCACCGGCUAACUACGUGCCAGCAGCCGCGGUAAUACGUAGGGUGCGAGCGUUAAUCGGAAUUACUGGGCGUAAAGCGUGCGCAGGCGGUUUGCUAAGACCGAUGUGAAAUCCCCGGGCUCAACCUGGGAACUGCAUUGGUGACU